rnacentral:rRNA from 1 species
UUGAACGCUGGCGGCAGGCCUAACCCCUGCAAGUCGCGCGGAUGAAGGGAGCUUUCUCCUGGAUUCAGCGGCGGACGGGUGAGUAAUGCCUAGGAAUCUGCCUGGUAGUGGGGGAUAACGUCCGGAAACGGGCGCUAAUACCGCAUACGUCCUGAGGGAGAAAGUGGGGGAUCUUCGGACCUCACGCUAUCAGAUGAGCCUAGGUCGGAUUAGCUAGUUGGUGGGGUAAAGGCCUACCAAGGCGACGAUCCGUAACUGGUCUGAGAGGAUGAUCAGUCACACUGGAACUGAGACACGGUCCAGACUCCUACGGGAGGCAGCAGUGGGGAAUAUUGGACAAUGGGCGAAAGCCUGAUCCAGCCAUGCCGCGUGUGUGAAGAAGGUCUUCGGAUUGUAAAGCACUUUAAGUUGGGAGGAAGGGCAGUAAGUUAAUACCUUGCUGUUUUGACGUUACCAACAGAAUAAGCACCGGCUAACUUCGUG